AUUGAACGCUGGCGGCAGGCUUAACACAUGCAAGUCGAGCGAGCGGCGGACGGGUGAGUAAUGUCUGGGAAACUGCCUGAUGGAGGGGGAUAACUACUGGAAACGGUAGCUAAUACCGCAUACCAUCAGAUGUGCCCAGAGGGGAUUAGCUAGUAGGUGGGGUAAUGGCUGACCUAGGCGACGAUCCCUAGCUGGUCUGAGAGGAUGACCAGCCAAACUGGAACUGAGACACGGUGCAGCCGCCUACGGGAGGCAGCAGGGGGGAAGAGUGCACAAUGGGAGAAAGCCUGAUAGAGCCAUGCCGCGUGUGGGAAGAAGGCCUUCGGGUUGUAAAGUACUUUCAGCGAGGAGGCGUUACUCGCAGAAGAAGCACCGGCUAACUCCGUGCCAGCAGCCGCGGUAAUUC
rnacentral:rRNA from 1 species